rnacentral:rRNA from 1 species
CCAAAAUCCGCCUGUCAUAUACCGAGGCUGCCGAUCGAGCGAGCUUGCUCGCGAAGUGAUUGAACGAGGUUCCAGGAAAAGCCACUAAGCUUCAGCUACACACGACCGUACCGCAAACCGACACUGGUGCGCGAGAUGAGUAUUCUAAGGCGCUUGAGAGAACUCGGGAGAAGGAACUCGGCAAAUUGACACCGUAACUUCGGAAGAAGGUGUGCCCUAUUAGUGUGAAGUGAACAACGGAGCAUGAAUGGGUUGCAAAAAAUCGGUGGCUGCGACUGUUUAUUAAAAACACAGCACUCUGCAAACACGAAAGUGGACGUAUAGGGUGUGACGCCUGCCCGGUGCUGGAAGAUUAAAUGAUGGGGUGCAAGCUCUUGAUUGAAGUCCCAGUAAACGGCGGCCGUAACUAUAACGGUCCUAAGGUAGCGAAAUUCCUUGUCGGGUAAGUUCCGACCUGCACGAAUGGCGUAACGAUGGCCACACUGUCUCCUCCCGAGACUCAGCGAAGUUGAAAUGUUUGUGAUGAUGCAAUCUCCCCGCGGAAAGACGGAAAGACCCCAUGAACCUUUACUGUAGCUUUGUAUUGGACUUUGAACAGAUCUGUGUAGGAUAGGUGGGAGGCUUUGAAGCAGGGUCGCUAGAUCUUGUGGAGCCAACGUUGAAAUACCACCCUGGUGUGUUUGAGGUUCUAACCUAGGUCCAUUAUCUGGAUCGGGGACAGUGCAUGGUAGGCAGUUUGACUGGGGCGGUCUCCUCCCAAAGCGUAACGGAGGAGUUCGAAGGUACGCUAGUUACGGUCGGACAUCGUGACGAUAGUGCAAUGGCAUAAGCGUGCUUAACUGCGAGACUGACAAGUCGAGCAGAUGCGAAAGCAGGACAUAGUGAUCCGGUGGUUCUGUAUGGAAGGGCCAUCGCUCAACGGAUAAAAGGUACUCUGGGGAUAACAGGCUGAUACCGCCCAAGAGUUCAUAUCGACGGCGGUGUUUGGCACCUCGAUGUCGGCUCAUCUCAUCCUGGGGCUGUAGCCGGUCCCAAGGGUAUGGCUGUUCGCCAUUUAAAGAGGUACGUGAGCUGGGUUUAAAACGUCGUGAGACAGUUUGGUCCCUAUCUUCCGUGGGCGCUGCAGAUUUGAGGAAGCCUGCUCCUAGUACGAGAGGACCGGAGUGGACGCACCUCUGGUGUAUCGGUUGUCACGCCAGUGGCAUUGCCGAGUAGCUAUGUGCGGAAGAGAUAACCGCUGAAAGCAUCUAAGCGGGAAACUCGUUCCAAGAUGAGAUCUGCCGGGGCCUUGAGCCCCCUAAAGAGUCGUUCAAGACCAGGACGUUGAUAGGUCGGGUGUGGAAGCGCAGUAAUGCGUUAAGCUAACCGAUACUAAUUGCUCGUGCGGCUUGACCCG